CCCUAAGUGUUACGCCAUGCCUUUAUUAUCAAACUGUGUAUAGCAAUAGUAUAUUAGUUUGGAUUAAAGUAAAUAAUUACAUUAUACAUUUAUAUUGAAAACAAGUUACCACUAAUUUAAUUGCGACCCUUGUCCAACCAAUACUCAUGUUUAGAUCAAUGCCUUGUUCGCACAAUCCCACCUUAUCUUGUUUGAUCGGACUCUAGUUUUACCUCUUUUCUGCUUUGACUUAGGAUAUUUUCUGUAAUUUUCGGAUGAUCACUUAAUUGAUAUUUCGAUCUGUUGAACAGAUAACACAUUUCAAAUGUGGGGGAGUUUCCCUUGGUGUGGGCAUGCAACAUCACGCAGCAGAUGGAGCUUCUGGUCUUCACUUCAUCAACACAUGGUCCGAUAUGGCUCGUGGUCUGGACCUCACCAUCCCACCUUUUAUAGACCGGACCCUCCUCCGUGCUCGCGCUUCCGGUCUUCACUUCAUCAACACACGGUCCGAUAUGGCUCGUGGUCUGGACCUCACCAUCCCACCUUUCAUAGAUCGGACCCUCCUCCGUGCUCGUGAUCCACCUCAGCCUCAGUUUCCCCACGUCGAGUACCAGCCACCUCCCACUCUCAAAGCAACUCCGGAAAACACCACCAACCCUGAAGUUGUUCCUGAAACAGCGCGUCCAUCUUCAAAUUAACUCGUGAUCAAAUCAAUACCCUCAAAGCCAAGUCCAAAGAAGAUGGAAAUACCAUUAACUACAGAUCCUACGAGAUGUUGGCAGGACACGUGUGGCGCUCCACGUGCAUGGCACGAGGACUAGCUCAUGAUCAAGAAACCAAAUUGUACAUAGCAACAGAUGGACGUUCCAGGCUGCGGCCCUCUCUCCCACCAGGCUAUUUUGGUAAUGUGAUAUUUACUACUACUCCUAUUGCAGUGGCUGGUGAUAUCCAAUCAAAACCUAUUUGGUAUGCUGCCAGUAAAUUACAUGAUGCACUGGCUAGAAUGGACAAUGACUAUUUACGAUCAGCUCUUGAUUAUUUGGAGUUGCAGCCUGACUUAAAGGCUCUUGUUCGUGGAUCGUGGUGCACAUACAUUUAAGUGCCCGAAUUUAGGAAUAACUAGUUGGUCUAGGCUGCCAAUCCAUGAUGCUGAUUUUGGCUGGGGUAGGCCUAUAUUUAUGGGACCUGGUGGUAUUGCUUAUGAAGGUUUAAGCUUUAUAUUGCCAAGUCCUACAAAUGAUGGCAGUCAAUUGUUGGAUUGCGUAUAGGUGUUCGUAACACGCAGUGGAAGACAAUAACAAUCCAAGGUAGAUUUUCUCAUGUUUAAAAUUUAUUUACGUGUCAAAGAACGGAUCAAAUACGUACCUGGUGAAGAAAGUCUCGUUUCAAAAUUCUUCGAUAGUGCGAAGACUCUAUGCGUAU
rnacentral:lncRNA from 1 species